CCCCCUUGUGUUAUUUUUUUUUGAACCCCCUAACAUUUUCAAUUUGCACCAAAGACCCUUUCUCUCUCACUAACACACGCACUUCUUACUCAUGCCCUCAUCCUCUUGCUCUCGCUAGGUCAAGCGCGCACACACACACCAGCCACCAGUGCACCACCGGCCACCACCACGACACCACCAGUGGUUACCAGUCCGGUGAGUCCACCACGCACCCUUGAUUUUGGCUAUGCUGUAGACACGGCUGAAGGCUUGAAGUUUACAAUUAAGGCUUGUUUGAGGAUUAGGCUGGGUCGAAGUAUACAGUUUGGGUGUACAACUAAUUUUCUGGCUUAGGGAGUAUUGCAUUAGUGUUUGUCACAAGUUAAGGGGAUUUGAGUACUACAUCUCUUGUAAUUUUAUUUCACUUUUGGUUUCUUUACUUUGUAUUAAGGGCUGGAGUACCCUUUAUACUCCUUUUUAAUAUAGUUUUGGUUUAUCAAAAAAAAAAAUCAUGGGUUGAGGUAUCCCUAGUACCUCUAUA